GACGAACGCUGGCGGCGUGCUUAACACAUGCAAGUCGAACGAUGAAGCCGGAGCUUGCUCUGGUGAAUUAGUGGCGAACGGGUGAGUAACACGUGAGUAACCUGCCCUUGACUCUGGGAUAACUGCUAGAAAUGGUAGCUAAUACCGGAUACGACCCUCGGAGGCAUCUCCAGGGGGUGGAAAGAAUUUCGGUCAAGGAUGGACUCGCGGCCUAUCAGCUAGUUGGUGAGGUAACGGCUCACCAAGGCGAUGACGGGUAGCCGGCCUGAGAGGGUGACCGGCCACACUGGGACUGAGACACGGCCCAGACUCCUACGGGAGGCAGCAGUGGGGAAUAUUGCACAAUGGGCGCAAGCCUGAUGCAGCAACGCCGCGUGAGGGAUGACGGCCUUCGGGUUGUAAACCUCUUUUAGUAGGGAAGAAGCGAAAGUGACGGUACCUGCAGAAAAAGCACCGGCUAACUACGUGCCAGCAGCCGCGGUAA
rnacentral:rRNA from 1 species